rnacentral:rRNA from 1 species
GAUGAACGCUGGCGGCGUGCCUAAUACAUGCAAGUCGAGCGAACAGACGAGGAGCUUGCUCCUCUGACGUUAGCGGCGGACGGGUGAGUAACACGUGGAUAACCUACCUAUAAGACUGGGAUAACUUCGGGAAACCGGAGCUAAUACCGGAUAAUAUCUUGAACCGCAUGGUUCAAUAGUGAAAGACGGUUUUGCUGUCACUUAUAGAUGGAUCCGCGCCGCAUUAGCUAGUUGGUAAGGUAACGGCUUACCAAGGCAACGAUGCGUAGCCGACCUGAGAGGGUGAUCGGCCACACUGGAACUGAGACACGGUCCAGACUCCUACGGGAGGCAGCAGUAGGGAAUCUUCCGCAAUGGGCGAAAGCUUGACGGAGCGACGCCGCGUGAGUGAUGAAGGUCUUCGGAUCGUAAAACUCUGUUAUUAGGGAAGAACAAAUGUGUAAGUAACUAUGCACGUCUUGACGGUACCUAAUCAGAAAGCCACGGCUAACUACGUG